AUAUCAAGGCAAACGCUGCAAUAUAAUAUUGUAGAGGAAAGUCCAUGCUCGCACUAUUCUGAGAUGAUAGUAGUGUUUGUGUCUAGGGAAAAAAUAACCUAGAGCAGGUUAACCCCUGACGGCAUUUUUAAAGCCUAAGGUUAAGGCUAAGGUUUUAAAAAUAUAAAGUGCCACAGAGACGAGAAGGUUUAGAAAUUUCCUUUGUGAAACGAGGUAAACCCCGCAAGCGAGAAACCCAAAUUUGGUAGGGGAACUGUUACAAGAGAAAUGAAUUUAGUAACAGAUGAAUUAAUUCAUAGAUAAAUGUUUGCCACCUAGUAAUAGGUACAGAACAUGGCUUAUUUGA
rnacentral:RNase_P_RNA from 1 species